AAUGGAGAGUUUGAUCCUGGCUCAGGACGAACGCUGGCGGCGUGCUUAACACAUGCAAGUCAAGGAGAAAGGUUCCUUCGGGAAACGAGUAAACUGGCGAACGGGUGAGUAACACGUAGGUAACCUGCCCUAGAGACUGGGAUAACUCCGCGAAAGCGGUGCUAAUACUGGAUAAUGCAGCGGGUCCUUCGGGACAUUGUUGUUAAAACUGGCUUCGGCUAGUACUUUAGGAUGGGCCUGCGCCCGAUUAGCUUGUUGGUAGGGUAACGGCCUACCAAGGCGAUGAUCGGUAGCUGGUCUGAGAGGAUGAUCAGCCACACUGGGAUUGAGAUACGGCCCAGACUCCUACGGGAGGCAGCAGUGGGGAACCUUGCACAAUGGGGGAAACCCUGAUGCAGCGAUGCCGCGUGAGUGAAGAAGGCCUUUGGGUUGUAAAGCUCUUUCGUCGGGGAAGAAAAUGA
rnacentral:rRNA from 1 species